CAAUUAGCACGUCUAGCUGCCCCCAGAGAAUGAGUACGCGUGUACCCCGCCGUACUGCUCAAUGACAAAGUCCAUUAAAGGCAGUCGCCGGUACACUGGACGACGACCUAAGCGCAGCACAAAUCAGCAGUCAGGGCACAUUCAUUGAAUGUUUAAAUUUUGCCAUAAGGGAACGGGGACACAUUCGUAUGUUCUGCUUCGGAAUCACAUACAACAUUUUUCGUCUCAAAGAACCAUCUCCUGCUUCAAUAAUCUCUCUACAGUGUAGAGUCUAGACUUUUUCCAUAAAUAUUCAUUUAACAAAGAAAAAAGCGGGCAUCUACAAAUCAAAACACAGCCGAACGAACAAUGAAUGCCAUUUGUCGGACAAUGAAAUCCCGAAAGAUUUCCGUGAAAUUGAUAGAUCGGGAGAGCUGGUUGUCAAAAAGAUCGUACUAGAGCUGUUGAUCCUUGGCUUGGGCUUGCAUUUACUUUGUGUUGUCUGUUACAAGUGAUUUAAUAUACCCGUAUACCCCCUAUAAUGUUUUAAUAAUAUUACAGAUCGU